AACUACACAGAUCCUGUCAGCACACGAGAAUGCAGGUGUUUGUCUGAAGAGAGAUGAAUGUGUUUUUCUUGUAAAUGAGGUACAGAACCAAAUUUAAUGUGUACGGGUGGAAGAUAGCUAGAUGUCAGCGGUUAUUUCCUGGUGUGGAACACAACAAACAUUUAUUCUAAGAAGCUUAGAAAACAGAAUGUCAAGCACAAGUUUAACUGGAAUUCCUGUGGGCCGUCUGACUGGUUUAGUGGCUAUUGCCGCUCUCGUCUCUCUGAUCCUCUUGUAUUUCUGGACUUCACCUCUGACCAGCUGUCCACCUCGACUACCUCAAUUCAAACAACACUCAGAUGGACACCAUGAAGAGAUGAACAACUCGAUUGCUGAUGAAACAGUGGAGAAACCUGUACUUUUAUUAUGGGUCUGGCCUAAAAAUUACAGAUUUGAUCUUAAGGACUGUAAAACUCUUUACAAUAUUGACGGCUGUCACCUGACGGACGAUAGAGCUCUCUACAGCAGUUCAGACGCUGUGCUUGUUUUUCACAGGGCUAUUAGCCAGGACCUGUCCACCCUUCCACCAUCUCCUCGUCCCCCGUUCCAAAAGUGGAUCUGGCUUAAUGUAGAAUCGCCAACAAACACGCAGAAAAUUCCAGGGAUAGAAAACCUCUUUAAUCUGACUCUCAGUUAUAGAGAGGACGCUGACAUUCCUGUGCGGCUGAGACUGACCAGCAACAAAACUCCAAAUGAGAAUUUUACAAUUCCCAAAAAGGACAAACUGGUCUGUUGGAUCGUAAGUAACAAUUUCGACUGGACGGGUGUUGGCACGAGAAACGCUUACUACAAUGAACUUAAAAAGCACGUCAAUAUACACAUGUUUGGAAGCGCUUAUGCUAAAAGACUAUCUUAUGAAGACUAUUAUCCCACCAUAGCCAGCUGCAAAUUUUAUCUGUCUUUUGAGAAUUCCAUCCACAAGGACUACAUCACGGAAAAGUUUAACGGACCUCUGUCAGCAGGUACUGUACCUGUGGUGCUGGGACCUCCCAGAAAGAACUAUGAGAGGUUUGCACCGCGUGACGCCUUCAUUCACGUGGACGACUUCCCAGACGCAAAGUCACUGGCAGAAUAUCUGACGCAGCUGGACAGAGAUGAAGAUGCGUAUCGCAGAUGGAUAUACAAACUUCUUUUAAAAAGAGACAGCCAGGUUCAGCACAAAGAGAGAUAGAGCAGGAUGAAGUCAGGAGGAGUACGAAAGGAAAUGAAAGCAAGAAUCAGAAGCAGAAGUGAAUGUCUGUGUUUAAGGAGUGGGAAAAGAGAAGAGAGAGAGGAGUCAAAGAGAAAGUGAGGGACAUGAGAUGAAAAUGUAUUGAGAAGAACAGAGGAAGAAAGGAGAACAGGGGUGCCUGGAGGGAAUUUGAGGACAUUUUCACAGAUGGUAGAUGGAGAAUGGGAGAAGAUUGAUUUGAACAGAGGUGAAAUAACGUGCUGUAUUAGGUAAUAAUAUAUACCCAUGUGCUGUUCCCUAACAAAAUAUGGUUCUAUUGUUUUGUUAUGUUAAAGAAUAAAAGGAAAAAUAAAAGAGUAUAAUUAGAGUAUUAGAGGCCACAUUUACUUGGCAUUGUUGAUGAGCUUUGAUUUGAAUGACUUGUUACUUCAUGGAUUCAGUGGUAGCAGCUUUGUCUGCUAAUUUUUUUUCUAAGCAACAAAAUAGGUUUUAAAUUAGUAAUGUUUAUUCCAAAUUCCUAAUCUACCUUUCUUGUGUAACUUCAUGGUAACAGGUUUACAGCAUUUUUUCUGUUUUUAUUUGAGAGAAGUGAAAAUGUCUUUGUAACAUAUCAAAUUUUGACAGUUUCAGAAUGAUAAAAAAGAGAACACUUCGAUUAAAGAUUAAAAAAUAGUUUAUUAUAGCUGCCAUAAAUGUGAAAAAAUCUCCUGGGGACCAUGCCCUGGAUGGAACCCCUAGAUUUUGGGCUAAGCCCCCAAUAUCCACAAUGUCUGGCUCCGCCCCUGGUUCUGCCUCUUCUUGUCAUGUCUUUCUUGGUUUUGUGGCAGAACCAUGGCAGAGCCUCUUGUUCUGUGUGGAGAGAAGCAUAUUAUUGUCUGUCACGACAUAAUAUGCGUUCUCUCCGGUGUCUGUCUCUAAGCCCCGCCCUCUCGUUCCCUUGUUAGCGUCCCCUUAGUGUUUGAUCCCUGUCACCUGCCCGUCACCUCCCUGUGUAAUCAUCCCUCGUUAGUGUUCCCCUAUUUAGAGCCUCUGUUCUUUCUGUCCUGUGUCGGUUUGUUCGUGGCAAGUCCCUGUCCAGAAAAUCUUGUUCCUGCCUUGCCCUGGUGUCCCUUAGUGUGAGGUUUGUUUGUUUAUUGCUUUAGUUCUUGUUUUGCCCCCAGAGGGAAGUUUUUGUUUGUCUUUUUGAGAAGUCUUUUUGUUAUAGUAUUUGUUCCCCCAUUGUGGUUUUUUGUUUCUUUAUUUUAAUAAAUAUCUGUUAACCCCUUAACUGCUGCCUGCAUCUGGGUUCUUCCCUACCAAACCAUGAUGGCAUAAUUAGAAUGUUUUUUUACCAAAAUACCUCAAAUCAAAAAUUCAUCCUAAAAUCAAAACUGUUAAAUUUGCUGACCGAGAGCUCAGACCGAUAUGAAACGUGUGCUAACGCUAACUUC